CCUUGGCUCAGGAUGAACGCUAGCGAUAGGCUUUAAACACACGCAAGUCGAGGGGCAGCAUUAUUUAGCUUAGCUAAGAUUAGAUGGCGACCGGCGCACGGGUGCGUAACGCGUAUGCAACCUGCCUGUAAUUAGGGAAUAACCCGGUGAAAGUCGGACUAAUACCCUAUAUUCUUCUUUCUCCGGCAUGGAGGAGGACGGAAAGAUUUAUUGAUUACAGAUGGGCAUGCGUCCCAUUAGCUGGUUGGUAAGGUAACGGCUUACCAAGGCAACGAUGGGUAGGGGGACUGAGAGGUUGACCCCCCACACUGGUACUGAGACACGGACCAGACUCCUACGGGAGGCAGCAGUGAGGAAUAUUGGUCAAUGGGCGAGAGCCUGAACCAGCCAAGUCGCGUGAAGGAGGACGGUUCUAUGGAUUGUAAACUUCUUUUGUAGAGGAAUAACGGCAGCUACGAGUAGCUGAGAUGCAUGUACUCUACGAAUAAGUAUCGGCUAACUCCGUG
rnacentral:rRNA from 1 species